AUUGAACGCUGGCGGCAGGCCUAACACAUGCAAGUCGAGCGGGGUUUUCGGACCUAGCGGCGGACGGGUGAGUAAUGCGUAGGAAGCUACCCGAUAGAGGGGGAUACCAGUUGGAAACGACUGUUAAUACCGCAUAAUGUCUACGGACCAAAGUGUGGGACCUUCGGGCCACAUGCUAUCGGAUGUGCCUACGUGGGAUUAGCUAGUUGGUGAGGUAAUGGCUCACCAAGGCGACGAUCCCUAGCUGGUUCGAGAGGAUGAUCAGCCACACUGGAACUGAGACACGGUCCAGACUCCUACGGGAGGCAGCAGUGGGGAAUAUUGGACAAUGGGCGCAAGCCUGCUCCAGCCAUGCCGCGUGUGUGAAGAAGGCCUUCGGGUUGUAAAGCACUUUCAGUAAGGAGGAAGCGUUGAGUGUUAAUAGUACUCAGCGUUGACGUUACUUACAGAAGAAGCACCGGCUAACUCUGUGCCAGCCGCCGCCGUAAAAC
rnacentral:rRNA from 1 species